rnacentral:rRNA from 1 species
AUUGAACGCUGGCGGCAGGCCUAACACAUGCAAGUCGAACGGUAACAGGAAACAGCUUGCUGUUUCGCUGACGAGUGGCGGACGGGUGAGUAAUGUCUGGGAAACUGCCUGAUGGAGGGGGAUAACUACUGGAAACGGUAGCUAAUACCGCAUAACGUCGCAAGACCAAAGAGGGGGACCUUCGGGCCUCUUGCCAUCGGAUGUGCCCAGAUGGGAUUAGCUCGUUGGUGGGGUAACGGCUCACCAAGGCGACGAUCCCUAGCUGGUCUGAGAGGAUGACCAGCCACACUGGAACUGAGACACGGUCCAGACUCCUACGGGAGGCAGCAGUGGGGAAUAUUGCACAAUGGGCGCAAGCCUGAUGCAGCCAUGCCGCGUGUAUGAAGAAGGCCUUCGGGUUGUAAAGUACUUUCAGCGGGGAGGAAGGGAGUAAAGUUAAUACCUUUGCUCAUUGACGUUACCCGCAGAAGAAGCACCGGCUAACUCCGUGCCAGCCGCCGCCGUAA